GGUUCAAUGCCACGUUGUAGAUAGCUCCAUGGCCUUGACCUACAUGCUAUGAUUGAACCAAAAACAAGUUUUUUCACAUCUUGAUAGGAAUCUGUUCAUCUUUUUCUAUAGAUUUACAGAGCUGUUUUGUGUGAUUUUUUUG
rfam:Cucumis melo, WGS project CAJI01000000 data, contig: 07112